AGAUUGAACGCUGGCGGCAUGGCUAAAACAUGCAAGUCGAGCGCGAAAGUGGAGCAAUCCAUGAGUAGAGCGGCGAAAGGGUGAGUAACGCGUUCCUUACGUACCUCAAGGUCGGGGAUAGCCAGGGGAAACUCUGGGUAAUACCCGAUGUGAUCGAGAGAUCAAAGGCUUGCCGCCUUGAGAGCGGGGAACGUCCUAUCAGCUAGUUGGUGAGGUAACGGCUCACCAAGGCUUUGACGGGUAGCGGGUGUGAGAGCAUGGCCCGCCACAUCGAAACUGAGACACUGUUCGGACUCCUACGGGAGGCUGCAGUAACGAAUCUUCCGCAAUGCGCGAAAGCGUGACGGAGCAAUGCCGCGUGCAGGAUGAAGCCCCUCGGGGUGUAAACUGCUGUCAGGGAUUAGGAACACAAUGACCAGUCCCAAAGGAAGAGACGACUAACUCUGUGCCAGCAGCCGC
rnacentral:rRNA from 1 species